rnacentral:rRNA from 1 species
UACGUAGGGUGCAAGCGUUGUUCGGAUUUACUGGGCGUAAAGGGCGCGUAGGCGGCGCGACAAGUCACUUGUGAAAUCUCUGGGCUUAACUCAGAACGGCCAAGUGAAACUGUUGUGCUAGAGUGCAGAAGGGGCAAUCGGAAUUCUCGGUGUAGCGGUGAAAUGCGUAGAUAUCGAGAGGAACACCAGAGGUGAAGACGGGUUGCUGGGCUGACACUGACGCUGAGGCGCGAAAGCCAGGGGAGCAAACGGG